rnacentral:rRNA from 1 species
CCUACGGGAGGCAGCAGUGGGGAAUUUUGGACAAUGGGCGAAAGCCUGAUCCAGCAAUGCCGCGUGUGGGAAGAAGGCCUUCGGGUUGUAAACCACUUUUGUACGGAACGAAACGGUCUGCUUUAAUAAAGUGGGCUAAUGACGGUACCGUAAGAAUAAGCACCGGCUAACUACGUGCCAGCAGCCGCGGUAAUACGUAGGGUGCGAGCGUUAAUCGGAAUUACUGGGCGUAAAGCGUGCGCAGGCGGUUAUAUAAGACAGUUGUGAAAUCCCCGGGCUCAACCUGGGAAUUGCAUCUGUGACUGUAUAGCUAGAGUACGGUAGAGGGGGAUGGAAUUCCGCGUGUAGCAGUGAAAUGCGUAGAUAUGCGGAGGAACACCGAUGGCGAAGGCAAUCCCCUGGACCUGUACUGACGCUCAUGCACGAAAGCGUGGGGAGCAAACAGGAUUAGAUACCCUGGUAGUCCACGCCCUAAACGAUGUCAACUGGUUGUUGGGUGNAUAUACUCAGUAACGAAGACUACGCGUGAGUAGACGCCGCGGGAGGUACGGCCGGCGAGGUUAGUAACGUACGAAAGUAAAGUUAGUACGGCGUGAGACGUCGCCGAACGGACGACCGACCGAGGGGAGGUUAGGGAGG